rnacentral:lncRNA from 1 species
CUGUCAGGCCGUAACAAAGCGACAAGCGUCCUCUCCACGCUCAGCCCAAGGGGCUGCAGAGAAGACAGAGGGAUGAAGCUGAGACCCAUCUUCCCUCAGUACAGUAUGGACCACCAUCCUCCAGAGGGCAGUGAGCCACUCCUCUCCUCCUCCCACCUGUAGAAAGGAUGUCAGAGGAGGCCUAAAGGCCCCACUCAGAGGUAGCACUGUUUUCCAUUCCUCGGUGACACUGGUGGCCAUAGGGGAACAGCCAUGUGACACAUUUCUCCUUCCAAGGCUGGAUGGUCUUAGCAGGAACCUAAUAGCAUCCUGAGCUCUCAAUAACAUGAGGGAGGGCUGCAUGGAGACUCUGGAUUUACAGCCCUGCGGAAGGGAUGAGCCAGUAUGUUGCUUCUUGGGAGCAGCAGGAGGUGACUGCUAAUGUGAAAGUCAUGAGACCUCAUCUCAGGAGCUCAUAAUGCAAAAAAUGCACUAAGGUCAAGGAAAUCUCAAGCCAACAGAGGAAAGAUAAUCUACAGAUACCAACCUCAAGAGGACACUGAGGUUAGAAUUAUCUGACAAAGACUUCAACGAUGCCUUUAUAAAAAACACUUCAAGGAGAAUCACACACUCAUGGGCCUGAGGCAGGAAGGUGGCUGCCUUAAUCACUUUUCAUGGCCGUGAUGAAGCAGAGCUCAAGCAGGAAGGUCACAAAUUCAAGACUGGUCUGUCUCAAAAACGAAAGAGAGAAAGCCAAGGCAGUUGUGGUGGUGGCUCACACCUUUGGUCCCAGAACUUGGGAGGCAGAGGCAGAGGGAUUUCUGAAUUCAAGGCCAGCCUGGUCUACAGAGUGAGUUCCAGGACAGCCAGAGUUACACAGAAAAACCUUGUCUCAAAAAAAAAAAAA